CUUCUCCAUCAAUCCCUGAUAAUCCUAAUCAGAGCGAGAAAGUGGUAUGGUUGAGAUUCAAUUGUAAACAUUGUUCCCUAAUGUGUAAUUGAAUCAAGAAUUCAGAUUUUAACCACUUUUAUUGUUCUUUCUCUUCUCUUUUAUCUUUUCCUUUACUUUGUGACAUUCUUAUUAAUCAAGAAACCGAUCAUACUCUAUUAUU
rnacentral:lncRNA from 1 species